rnacentral:tRNA from 1 species
GGGUAUAGCUCAAGUGGUAGAGUGCAUGCUUAGCAUGCAUGAGGUCCUGGGUUCAAUCCUCAGUACCUCCA